rnacentral:rRNA from 1 species
UUGGAGGGCAAGUCUGGUGCCAGCAGCCGCGGUAAUUCCAGCUCCAAUAGCGUAUAUUAAAGUUGCUGCAGUUAAAAAGCUCGUAGUUGAAUUUCGGGGUUCAUCCGUUGGUCGGGCUUUUUGGUCUGUACCGGCGUGAUGGAUUCCUACCUUCUGAAUAAUCAGCAUGUCAUUAAUUUGGUGCGCUGGGGAAGCAGGACUGUUACCUUGAAAAAAUUAGAGUGCUUAAAGCAGGCUAUCGCCUGAAUACAUUAGCAUGGAAUAAUGAAAUAGGACGGCACGGUUCUAUUUUGUUGGUUUCUAGGAUCACCGUAAUGAUUAAUAGGGAUAGUUGGGGGCAUUAGUAUUCAAUUGUCAGAGGUGAAAUUCUUGGAUUCAUUGAAGACUAACUUCUGCGAAAGCAUUUGCCAAGGAUGUUUUCAUUAAUCAAGAACGAAAGUUAGGGGAUCGAAGACGAUCAGAUACCGUCGUAGUCUUAACCAUAAACUAUGCCGACUAGGGAUCGGACGAUGUUAAUUUUUUAAUGGCUCGUUCGGCGCCUUACGGGAAAC